GCUUGUCUCAAAGAUUAAGCCAUGCAUGUCUAAGUAUAAGCACCCUUAUACUGCGAAACUGCGUACAGCUCAUUAUAUCAGCAAUUAUUUAUUUGAAGGUCACCUAUUACAUGGAUAACCGUGGUAAUUCUAGAGCUAAUACAUGCGAAAAGUCGGCGCAAGUCGAUGUAUUUAUUAGAUACAGAAUCAAUACGUGUUCUGCACGUUCUAUUGCGAUGAUUCAUAAUAACUGAUCGAAUCUCAAAUUUGAGAUAAAUCAUUCAAGUUUCUGCCCUAUCAGCUUUCGAUGGUAGUGUAUUGGACUACCAUGGCAGUAACGGGUAACGAAGAAUUAGGGUUCGAUUUCGGAGAGGGAGCAUGAGAAACGGCUACCACAUCUAAGGAAGGCAGCAGG
rnacentral:rRNA from 1 species